AUGAACGCUAGCGGCAGGCUUAACACAUGCAAGUCGAGGGGCAGCAUAAUGGAUAGCAAUAUCUAUGGUGGCGACCGGCGCACGGGUGCGUAACGCGUAUGCAACCUACCUUUAACAGGGGGAUAACACUGAGAAAUUGGUACUAAUACCCCAUAAUAUCAUAGAAGGCAUCUUUUAUGGUUGAAAAUUCCGAUGGUUAGAGAUGGGCAUGCGUUGUAUUAGCUAGUUGGUGAGGUAACGGCUCACCAAGGCGACGAUACAUAGGGGGACUGAGAGGUUAACCCCCCACACUGGUACUGAGACACGGACCAGACUCCUACGGGAGGCAGCAGUGAGGAAUAUUGGUCAAUGGACGCAAGUCUGAACCAGCCAUGCCGCGUGCAGGAUGACGGCUCUAUGAGUUGUAAACUGCUUUUAUAAGGGAAUAAAGUGAGUCUCGUGAGACUUUUUGCAUGUACCUUAUGAAUAAGGACCGGCUAAUUCCGUG
rnacentral:rRNA from 1 species